AAAACCAUUAGAAACAGCCAAGUUACCGAUGAAGGAUAUCCAUGUAAAAGUAUCUGAACGACACAAGAAAG